CAGGCAUGAACCACCGUACCCGGCCACACUUUUUUUUUUUCUUAAUCAACUUAAUGACUCACUCCCUUGACAUUUUGAUUUAAGGAGACUUUCUCUCUCAAGAUAUCUAUAGUUUACAACAAUUUGGUAAAGUAUACUUUUGUGAACAAAACUGGCAACACUUACUUUUUCUCUGUCCCUCCAAAAUUUGGAAACUAUUUGACACUAGGUGAAAACAGAAAACUGCUUCCAGCUGAACUGAGCCAUACAGUGUCAA
rnacentral:lncRNA from 1 species